rnacentral:rRNA from 1 species
GCAAGUCGAGCGCACCCUUCGGGGCGAGCGGCGGACGGGUUAGUAACGCGUAGGAAUCUACCUAGUAGAAGGGGAUAGCCCGGGGAAACCCGGAUUAAUACCGUAUACCUCCUUCGGGAGAAAGAAGGCCUCUCUUUGAAGCUUUCGCUACUAGAUGAGCCUGCGUAAGAUUAGCUUGUUGGUGAGGUAAAGGCUCACCAAGGCGACGAUCUUUAGCUGGUCUGAGAGGACGAUC